CGACGAUGGUUAGCUGGUCUGAGAGGAUGAUCAGCCACACUGGAACUGAGACACGGUCCAGACUCCUACGGGAGGCAGCAGUGAGGAAUAUUGCGCAAUGGGGGCAACCCUGACGCAGCAACGCCGCGUGAGUGAGGAAGGUUUUCGGACCGUAAAGCUCUGUCGAGCGGGAAGAAAUGCAUGGUGGCUAAUAUCCAUCAUGCUUGACGGUACCGCUAAAGGAAGCACCGGCUAACUCCGUGCCAGCAGCCGCGGUAAUACGGGGGGUGCGAGCGUUGUUCGGAAUUAUUGGGCGUAAAGAGCGUGUAGGCGGCCGAAUAAGUCAGAUGUGAAAUCCCUGGGCUUAACCCAGGACGUGCAUUUGAAACUAUUCGGCUAGAGUAGGGGAGAGGAAAGUGGAAUUCCUGGUGUAGAGGUGAAAUUCGUAGAUAUCAGGAGGAACACCGGUGGCGAAGGCGACUUUCUGGCCCUAUACUGACGCUGAGACGCGAGAGCGUGGGUAGCAAACAGGAUUAGAUACCCUGGUAGUCCACGCUGUAAACGAUGUUCACUAGGUGUUGGGGGUAUUGACCCUCUCAGUGCCGCAGCUAACGCA
rnacentral:rRNA from 1 species